rnacentral:piRNA from 1 species
GACUUUGUGAGUUGCAUUCCUACCUGAG